CAGUAGCCACGGGAAUACGUAGGUGGCAAGCGUUGUCCGGAAUUAUUGGGCGUAAAGGGCUCGCAGGCGGUUUCUUAAGUCUGAUGUGAAAGCCCCCGGCUCAACCGGGGAGGGUCAUUGGAAACUGGGAAACUUGAGUGCAGAAGAGGAGAGUGGAAUUCCACGUGUAGCGGUGAAAUGCGUAGAGAUGUGGGGGAACACCAGUGGCGAAGGCGACUCUCUGGUCUGUAACUGACGCUGAGGAGCGAAAGCGUGGGGAGCGAACAGGAUUAGAUACCCGCGUAGUCCCUGUCUCUUAUAA
rnacentral:rRNA from 1 species